UGUAGUUCUUUUUUAUUUAGAUUCAAAUUUUACCUUGUAUAGAUUCUUCCCUUAUUUAAAGGAAUGUUAGUCCUUUUCAAUAAAUAAAUAAGGAAUACUUUUUUUUUUUUUUGGCAGAAACAAGUUACGUGCAUAAUAAAGUUAUGGAGUGUUUUUUAUUUUAUUUUUUUAGGCGUAUGUAAGUUUCGAUUCCGUCAAUUCUAAAAUUUAGGCUUUUGAUCUAUUAAAAUUAUAUUUUGUACAAAUUCUUUCCUUGAAUUAAAUAGCACAAAUAAAAUACCUCACGUAUUAGAACUUGAAAGAGAUCUUCUUCUUAUUCUUUUCUCACGACUUCUUCUACUGGAAAUUGAUUUUGCUUGGUCUCUAUUUUAUGUUAAAUGAAUUAUUACCGUUUUUCUUCAAUUCUGAUUAUGUUUGUUUUACUUUGUAGCCACAUAAUAUGGAGACAAAGGUAAGUAAAAUCAAUAGUUUUUUUUUUCUUUUUGAAUCUGUGGUAGGUGGUUCAAGAAUUAAGUCUUAUAUUGCUUUCUCUUUAUUUUUUCCGAGUUAUAUUGUCUCUCUCCGCUCUUGAUUGUCUAGGUUAGUAUCAUUGUUUAGCUUAUAUGACUGUUAACCAUGCAGAGCUCCUACUAUGCAGGGACCCUUCAAAAAUAGAGUUUGCAUUAGACAAAAUCGUAACUCAAUUAUUCUCCUAAUAUGUAGGAAUUCAAAAUCAACUUAAGUUUACGUUAUUAAGUCUUUGAUGUAUUUGUAAUUGAUCAAGAGUAUUCUAAUCCGUUUUCUUCUCUUUUUUUUUUCUACGUUGCUGACAGCUUCAUAAACCGACAUGAAGGGAUAUCAGAUGAAAAUCUCUCCACUUUAGUGCUUGAAACUUCAACAGGCGGCAGUUAGAAUGUGCAAUAGGCCAAGGUCCUUUCAAUUCGCAGGACCAAAUCAAACCCAAAAAGUGGUUGUGUGCGAAAUGACUGAUAUGAGGCGUACAUGGACUUCGUGGGUCCCCAUGGGUUGUGCUGCCAAGAUGUGAUGUUCCAUCGUCGGUGUACAUUGUACGAGUACCAGGUUGGAUCCGCUUUUACCCCUCGUGGCUGAUAGUUCGAGGUUGCUGAUUCAAGUCUAUUUAGGGUGAGCAUGAGGACGUUCGUUGCCCGAAGAUUUUUCCGACUACUUAUGUCUUACUUUUCAUUCUGAGACAUGAUUUGAGACACUUACGUAUUAUUAUCACUAUUGAGAUUGGUUGUAUUUUGGUUUAGAUGCUCUUGUAUGACCCAAUCAGAUACUUGGGUGGAUUUCACUUACUUCCGCUUACUUCCGCACUUACUUAUAUUAUAUCUGUUAGACUUA